UUGAAAAACAAAAAUCAAUAGGACUCAGAAUAUGGGUGGUGAUAUAACAGAAUGGUCGGCAAAUAGGCUUUUUACGGCCGUUUU
rnacentral:sRNA from 1 species